rnacentral:rRNA from 1 species
GACGUAGGGGCGAGCGUUGUCCGGAAUUACUGGGCGUAAAGAGCACGUAGGCGGGAACCUAAGUCAGGUGUGAAAGACCGUGGCUCAACCACGGGGUGGCAUUUGAAACUGGGUUUCUUGAGGGCAGGAGAGGAAAGCAGAAUUCCUGGUAUAGCGGUGAAAUGCGUAGAAAUCAGGAGGAAUACCAGUGGCGAAGGCGGCUUUCUGGACUGACCCUGACGCUGAGGUGCGAAAGCGUGGGUAUCAAACAGGAUUAGAUACCCUGGUAGUCCCUGAG